rnacentral:rRNA from 1 species
AACGAACGCUUGCGGCGCGCCUAAUACAUGCAAGUCGAGCGAGAAAGUACUUCGGUAUGAGUAAAGCGGCGGACGGGUGAGGAACACGUAGAUAAUCUGCCUUAGAGUGGGGGAUAACUAAUCGAAAGAUUAGCUAAUACCGCAUAAGACCACAAGGGCUUCGGCUCAAGGGGUUAGAGGAGCAAUUCGCUCUAAGAUGAGUCUGCGUCCGAUUAGCUAGUUGGUGAGGUAAUGGCUCACCAAGGCAACGAUCGGUAACUGGUCUGAGAGGAUGACCAGUCACACUGGAACUGAGACACGGUCCAGACUCCUACGGGAGGCAGCAGUAGGGAAUAUUGCACAAUGGACGAAAGUCUGAUGCAGCGACGCCGCGUGAGUGAUGAAGGCCUUCGGGUUGUAAAACUCUGUGAUAAGGGAAGAUGAUGACGGUACCUUAUCAGAAAAGACCGGCUAACUUCGUGCCAGCAGCCGCGGUAACAC